UCCACGCCACACGCAGGCUCUGCGCAGAGCUCUGUGCUGGAGGGAAGCUGGCCCCAAGCAGCCUUUCAUGGCAGCUUCUCCAACUGGUUUCUGUGACAGGAUUUUCCUGCUUUCACCAUGGAAGGAAGUGAGGCAGAGGGAACGUGUUCUGUUUCCUCGAAAAGCAUUUAGGGAGACAUGUGGACACCCUGUUCUCUCCCCAGCUCAUAGAAGAGCUUAUUAGCUGACUUGGGGUGCCGUGAUAAUAAAGCCACUCAAUGGACGUAACAAUGUCCUGGAAAGCAUCUCAGAUUUGUAGAAUUAUCACAGCCUCCUCCUGGAUUUCCUGUCUCCAGCCUAUGUCGAAAAUCUUCAUUUCAUACAGGAGCCAACUGUGUUAUUCUAAGGAGGGUUAAAAAAUGAAACAACAAAUCUAGAGUAUUGACGAUAUGGGUAUCAGGAAAAUGUAUUUUCUACAACUGCUCACAGAUUAGCUCCACACUGACCUCCUUUUUGGAAGGCGAGGAUCCCAACAUAUGAAAAAAAGAGCAGAGCCUCCCAAGCUAAUAAUUAGUCUGUGCUUGGAACAAGAGUGUUCAGAAGAACCAGACAUUUAUGUCGUAACAUUUUCCAAAGCAGGAGGAGCAGGGGUUUGCUCCUGUGCAUUCUGGCAAAUGGAAACAACAAAGAAUAUGGAUCAUUCCAGAGACUUUAGAAGCAAGAUGGGAUUCUUUUCAAAGAUUCUGAUUCUGAGGUUUUGAGGAAAGAAAGAUGGGCAAGGAAGCAAAGGAAAUAUUGCUAAUUUGUCAAUCAUUGAUAGAGUAGGAUCUACUUCCAGUUCUAUUUAAAAACCAACUACAAGCAAAACUGCCAGCACCUGGCUGAGCAAGCAGUAUCUGAGGCAGAUGAAACUGAGAAAUGUUCACUGAAACCUUACAAUCUUUUAUGAAGACAAAGAGACCAAGUGUCGGAGAGGUGUCGGAGAAGGAGCCUGAAGUUCAAGGUCACAUGGAAAUGCUGAAGUCAGUCACUUUUUGGACUCAUUCUGAGAAGUAAAAACUUCUUCCAAACACACAUCAGUGAUUUUAUCAAAAUCUGUGAGACAGAAAAUACCCUAGAAAAUGUGCCUGUCUUCUAUAAGCAUCCAAUUCUGUAAAGAGCAGCAUAUUAUUAAUAAUUCUUGAGUGUUUUUCACAGAAAGAGUCUCCAUUCUCCACCCAACCUGAGUAAUAACUGAUAUCUCCACAGUGUUGCAGCCACACAUACCCCAUCUCUUGUUUGAGUUUUGGGAUCUCCUCUUUUCCCAAAGCCCUAGUCUUCCUUAACAUUAAGUUGCUGGUUUUUUUAGUCUGUAUUCCCAGGUUCACCUCUCUUUAAUAUCACGUGCUUUGCGUGGCCAGGUAUUCACCCGCAGGUCACAGAUGAGGUACAGACAAACCAAAAGUCCUGCCAACCAAACAACAAAGGCCAGUCCAGAAACUGUCAGCUCUUCCUAGAGAAGCUGCAGUGCUCUGAGCCCUGAGGUAGCCCAACAAGAACGGAGAACGCAGCCCACCCAUCCCAGCUGCAAAAUGAAUGUCAACUUCUUAAACACCAACACCAAAUCUUCCUUCUGUUUCCCUCUAAAGAGCCACCAGCGAAACACUUGACCAGAAGAUGUACCCUGAAAGCCUGGAGCUCUUGCAGCUUCCCUGAAACACGACACUUCUCCAGGAUUCCAAGGAUCUCAAACAAGGAAAACUAGAAGUGGCUCAUGGUGAAGCUUUUGAAGACUAUUCUGAAUGGCUCGGGUGGCGAGCCAGCACGCCCACCCUCCUUGAGGUGUUAGAAUUCUUUCCCUUCAUUCCCAAGUGAGAACGUAUCAGCCCACAGACUCCAGCCCCCAAAACCAAACUUGGCAGCACAGCAGUUGCAUACCAAGAGAGGCCCAUUCUAGAUCCUUCCAUCCCAAUCACCCCCUUUCCACCCCUGCCCUGUGCCUUCCCCAUCCCUGAGCGAGGGUGACAGAGUUAGGAUAGAGAAGACGGGACCCAAAACUCAGCUCCCAUUAUCUUACAAACAGUAACCUGGUGAGUGACCAUCUCACCACUCCAUACCUGGAUAAAAAUAAAACCAUGUCAACAGUGUGUAGCUCCUACCACCUCA